rnacentral:rRNA from 1 species
UACGUAGGGAGCAAGCGUUGUUCGGAAUUACUGGGCAUAAAGCGCACGUAGGCGGCCUAUCAAGUCAGAUGUGAAAGCCCCUGGCUCAACCAGGGAAUUGCAUUUGAAACUGAUAGGCUUGAGGGCGGCAGGGGAGAGUGGAACUCGUGGUGGAGCGGUGAAAUGCGUAGAUAUCACGAGGAACGCCGGUGGCGAAAGCGACUCUCUGGGCCGUUCCUGACGCUGAGGUGCGAAAGCCAGGGUAGCGAAC